rnacentral:lncRNA from 1 species
UGCACUGUCUCUCACACUCUUGCUGAUGUCCUUCAUCCACUCUGGACUCACUCAAGGUAUUGUGCUGUUUAUUAAACAGAUAUGAAUAGUGUUGUAGGAGUUUAUU